rnacentral:rRNA from 1 species
UACAGAGGUCUCAAGCGUUGUUCGGAUUCAUUGGGCGUAAAGGGUGUGUAGGUGGCGCCGUAAGUCGGGUGUGAAAUUUCGGAGCUUAACUCCGAAACUGCAUUCGAUACUGCGGUGCUUGAGGACUGGAGAGGAGACUGGAAUUCAUGGUGUAGCAGUGAAAAUGCGUAGAGAUCAUGAGGAAGACCAGUGGCGAAGGCGGGUCUCUGGACAGUUCCUGACACUGAGACACGAAGGCCCAGGGGGAGCAAAACGGGG